rnacentral:rRNA from 1 species
UACGUAGGGUGCAAGCGUUGUCCGGAAUUAUUGGGCGUAAAGAGCUCGUAGGUGGUCUGUUGCGUCGGCUGUGAAAUCCCGAGGCUCAACCUCGGGCCUGCAGCCGAUACGGGCAGACUAGAGUUCGGCAGGGGAGACUGGAAUUCCUGGUAUAGCGGUGAAAUGCGCAGAUAUCAGGAGGAACACCGGCGGCGAAGGCGGGUCUCUGGGCCGAUACUGACAC